UACGGGGGGGGCAAGCGUUGUUCGGAAUUACUGGGCGUAAAGGGCUCGUAGGUGGCCAACUAGGUCAGACGUGAAAUCCCCAGGCUCAACUUGGGAACUGCGUCUGAUACUGGAUGGCUUGAAUUCGGGAGAGGGAUGCAGAAUUCCAGGUGUAGCGGUGAAAUGCGUAGAUAUCUGGAGGAAUACCGGUGGCGAAGGCGGCAUCCUGGACCGAGAUUGACACUGAAAAGCGAAAGCCAGGGGAGCAAACGGG
rnacentral:rRNA from 1 species